AAAUAUGAAAUUGUGAUAUCAUUAUUAAAAAAAACAGUUGCAACUUUUUGAUAUUCAACUUGAGUACAAAGCAUGCAAUGUAGCAUUUUUUAGAUUAUUAUAGCCAAUUUCACUACCUAUGGCAUGUUAGAAGCACGUGACUAUGGAUCUCUUUUGUUCUUAUUGUGUUCAAGCUUAAGUAUACCAAAUCAAUUGAACUAAUAGAGGUAGGUUCAAACACAAGAAAAGACUGGUUAUAUGAAUGGGAUUUGUUAGUGUCACAAUUGAUUGUACUCUGGCUAUCUAAAAUCAAUUAUCAAAAUACAAAAUACCAUGGCUUAUUACUUCCAUUUUAAUUCAACAUAUAAUCCAUUCUACGAUUAUCAAUUUAACAAUACUUCUCUCAAUCACAAUUCUUUAUAAGCAAAUAAUAAAAACAAAGAAAACAAAGAAGUAGGACCAAGCUUACCCUGGCUUAUGGCUCUCUCAGUCUGACUCUAGGCUUAUCUUUCCUCAACCUCUUUAUCCUACCAAAAGAUGAUCCGUCGGCUAGCGGAUUCCAAAGGUUAUGACCCUUUGAAUUCUUAACCAUUUAUUCCACUAACCACUUACUGUUACCAAUUAAACUACCUAACCAUCAAUCUAAUUCUCAAGGUUGUCAAUAACCAACCAGUAACUUAUCACAAAAUUU
rnacentral:lncRNA from 1 species